AUUGAACGCUGGCGGCAGGCCUAACACAUGCAAGUCGAACGAGUGGCGGACGGGUGAGUAAUGUCUGGGAAACUGCCCGAUGGAGGGGGAUAACUACUGGAAACGGUAGCUAAUACCGCAUACCAUCAGAUGUGCCCAGAUGGGAUUAGCUUGUGGGUGGGGUAACGGCUAACCUAGGCGACGAUCCCUAGCUGGUCUGAGAGGAUGACCAGCCACACUGGAACUGAGAAACGGCCCAGACUCCUACGGGAGGCAGCAGUGGGGAAUAUGGCACAAUGGGCGCAAGCCUGAUGCAGCCAUGCCGCGUGUAUGAAGAAGGCCUUCGGGUUGUAAAGUACUUUCAGCGGGGAGGCGUUACCCGCAGAAGAAGCACCGGCUAACUCCGUGCCAGCCGCCGCGGUAAUAC
rnacentral:rRNA from 1 species